CUCGUCCGCGCGGCAGCUGGUCUCAAGAGCCGAGAGCUUGCGAGGGCCUUGGCGGGUUGCGGCGGCGCCGGUGCGGUGAGGGUCGGCCGUCUGUGGUCGGGCUGCGGGCGGCUCGGGCAGGUCGCGGGCGCCACAGGUGGAAGAAGAAAGGUGCCACUUUGGCAUGAAGAUAGACUCACUUAGACGUCAAUCUUUUAAGCUGAGUGCAUUGUGAUUUCCAAUAAUUGAGGCAGUGGUUCUAAAAGCUGUCUACAUUAAUGAAAAGAGCAAUGUGGCCAGCUUGACUAAGCCGCCAGUGUGUGGAACGCGGGCAGGACGCCACCGGGUCUCGACGGACUUGUGCAUGUUAGCAGUAUAGAUUUAUGUAAGGUGGUUUAAAACUCUGGUGUUUUAAAAUAGUCUUAACUGCUCAUAAUAUGGAGACAUAUGAGAGUCCCUCUCCUCUCCCGCGUGAGCCCGCAGGAGAAGCGAUGAUGGAGAACCGAGCUUGCCCCUUCCAAGUGCUGCCCCAUGAACAGUCUCCACCACCUCCCCUGCAAACGUCCAGUGAUGCAGAGGUAAUGGACGUUGGCUCUGGUGGUGAUGGACAGUCCGAACCUCCUGCCGAGGACCCUUUCAACUUCUACGGAGCUUCUCUUCUCUCCAAAGGAUCCUUCUCUAAGGGCCACCUCCUCAUAGACCCGAACUGUAGUGGCCACAGCCCGCGCACUGCCCGGCACGCACCCGCAGUCCGGAAGUUCUCCCCUGACCUUAAGUUGCUUAAGGAUGUAAAGAUUAGUGUGAGCUUUACUGAGAGCUGUAGGAGUAAGGACAGGAAGGUGCUGUACACAGGAGUAGAACGCAGCACUCGGGCUGAAUGUAGCCUGCUCCUUAGUCCUGUCAGUGGGGACGUGCAUGCUUGUCCCUUUGGCGGGAGUGUUGGUAAUGGGGUAGGCCUAGGGGGUGAGAGUACAGAUAAGAAGGAUGAGGAAAAUGAGCUGGAUCAGGAAAAGAGAGUGGAGUACGCAGUGCUCGAUGAGUUAGAAGAUUUUACUGACAAUUUGGAGCUAGAUGAAGAAGGAACAGGCGGGUUCACGGCUAAAGCAAUCGUUCAAAGAGACAGAGUGGAUGAAGAGGCCUUGAAUUUCUCCUAUGAGGAUGAAUUUGACAAUGAUGUGGAUGCUUUGCUAGAAGAAGGUCUUUCUGCUCCCAAAAAGAGGCGGAUGGAGGAAAAAUAUGGCGGAGACAGUGAUCAUCCAUCUGAUGGAGAGACAAGUGUGCAGCCAAUGAUGACCAAGAUUAAAACAGUGCUCAAGAGUCGUGGCCGUCCACCUACAGAGCCAUUGCCUGAUGGAUGGAUCAUGACUUUUCAUAACUCUGGAGUUCCUGUAUACCUGCACAGAGAGUCUCGAGUGGUCACCUGGUCCAGACCCUACUUCUUGGGAACGGGAAGCAUACGGAAACAUGACCCUCCUCUAAGCAGUAUCCCCUGUCUGCAUUACAAGAAAAUGAAGGAUAAUGAGGAACGGGAGCAAAACUCUGAUCUCACACCCAGUGGGGAGGUGUCACCUGCCAAGCCCCUGGGUCGAUCUGCAGAGUUAGAUUUCCCUUUGGAAGAGCCUGACUCCAUGGGUGGAGACUUGGGGUCCUUGGAUGAGAAGGACCCACUGGGGGCUGAGGCAGCCCCUGGAGCCUUGGGACAAGUGAAAGCUAAAGUUGAGGUUUGCAAAGAUGAAUCAGUUGAUCUAGAAGAAUUUCGUACCUACCUGGAGAAGCGUUUUGACUUUGAGCAAGUAACUGUGAAAAAAUUUAGGACUUGGGCUGAGCGCCGCCAGUUCAACCGUGAGAUGAAGCGGAAGCAGGCAGAGUCAGAGAGGCCCAUUCUGCCAGCCAACCAGAAGCUCAUCACCUUAUCUGUGCAAGAUGCACCUACAAAGAAAGAGUUUGUCAUCAAUCCCAAUGGGAAAUCCGAGGUCUGCAUCCUGCACGAAUACAUGCAGCGUGUCCUCAAGGUCCGCCCUGUUUAUAAUUUCUUUGAAUGUGAGAAUCCAAGUGAGCCUUUUGGUGCCUCCGUGACCAUUGAUGGUGUGACUUACGGAUCUGGAACUGCAAGCAGCAAAAAACUUGCGAAGAAUAAAGCUGCCCGAGCCACACUGGAAAUUCUCAUCCCAGACUUUGUUAAACAGACCUCUGAGGAGAAGCCCAAAGACAGUGAGGAACUGGAGUAUUUUAACCACAUCAGCAUUGAGGAUUCACGAGUCUACGAACUGACCAGCAAGGCCGGGCUGUUGUCUCCGUAUCAGAUCCUCCAUGAGUGCCUUAAAAGAAACCAUGGAAUGGGUGACACAUCCAUCAAGUUUGAAGUGGUUCCUGGGAAAAACCAGAAGAGCGAAUAUGUCAUGGCGUGCGGCAAACACACAGUGCGCGGGUGGUGUAAGAAUAAACGAGUUGGGAAACAAUUAGCCUCUCAAAAAAUCCUUCAGCUGCUGCACCCACAUGUCAAGAAUUGGGGGUCCUUACUGCGCAUGUAUGGCCGUGAGAGCAGCAAAAUGGUGAAGCAGGCCCUUACGCUCCUGUUUUGGGUGGUCAUGAGCACACUGCUGCUUGGCAGUUCUGAGAGCAAGCUUUGGGUCCCUAGGAGACCUCUGACAAGAGUGUGAUAGAGCUACAGCAGUAUGCCAAGAAGAACAGGCCCAACCUUCACAUCCUGAGCAAGCUGCAAGAGGAAAUGAAGAGGCUGGCUGCAGAGCGGGAGGAGACUCGGAAGAAGCCCAAGAUGUCAAUUGUAGCAUCUGCCCAGCCUGGUGGUGAGCCCUUGUGCACAGUGGAUGUAUGAGGUAGGCGGCAUGGGCCAACAGUGCUUCCCAGGAGACCAUCAGCAACACAUCACUGCAGCACCAGGCCUCCAACCUAAGUUCCCUUCCUGUGGCAAUGUCUGGGCUUUGCUCUGACAUGCAGGGACAGCUGUGACCCUACAGCACACGUUCAAAGAAGCAGUUCUUCUGGAAGCUGCUCUCAAUGUGACUUGAUAUAUUUAAGGAUCAGCUAUAAGUAACUGCACAAGUGGAAGCUGAUAGCCAGCUGUAGAUCCUGCUUGUACGUAUCUGCUGCAGACUGUUUUUAUGAAGGUUUCCAUGAAUUUUAGUACACUAUAUGCACUGACAAGAACUGAUACUUGGUUGAUAGAUGAGAUGACCAGGUUUUAUAGCUUUGGCUGGCCUAUGAUGCCAGGUAGUCCUUCUGCUCAUAGUUCCUUCUGGUGGACCCACUGAGACCUGGUCAGAAGGUACAGGUAUCCUGUACUGUAGUAUUAACUGCUUUGUGUGUUUCCCAUUUUCCUCUGAAAAAGUUGUAACAGAAAGGGUGGUUUCAGGCUAUUUUGGCUUAAAAUAAAACAGAAUUUUAGCACCAGAA